GGCCACUUCCUGCCGAUCGGAACAGUUUGUAACCGCUUGCGGUUAUUGUUACUUCCCUCAGUUAUAUGCGGUGCUUCUUCCGCUGCUCCCGGUGGACAUAAAAAUUUCUACUCUUAGGUAUCGUUUGGUUCGGGGAUAAGCAAAAAGUGGUUAUUCCAGGGAUAGGUAUAAAUUGAGGUAUAAGCGGGGAUUAGAUCAAUUUUGUGUUUGGAUGAAAAUUAGGUUAUUCCUGGGAAUAAAAAAAUUAGUGUUUGGUUUGGUAAGCUGGAAUAAGACGGAUAGUGGAUUUUUAUAAAUAAAAAAUAAUGAUAUUACCUCUUAUUAUAAUUUAAAUUUAAAAUUUAAAAUUCAGAAUUUAAAAUUAUAAACUUUAAUUUUGAGGUUACAAAUUAUAAAUUUUAAAAAUUUAAAAUUUUAAAAUANUACAUAAAUAGAAUAGCAUUAAUGAAAGGUAUUGAUGACAUACAUAACUGCAGCAUAUGAGAAAUCUAUAAUUUGUAACUAAUACACUAAAAGGCGUGUAGAUUGAUGAAUAUAUAAAUCCAACGUAAAUUAAGUGCUCUGGUGUUUGAGUUUUCCUGAAGUAUGAUUAUUUUUUUAUUGUUUGUUUUGACGUAACUCGUAUAGAAAGUUAAAUUUAAUUAUUUCUUCUAUUUGUUUUGAUGUAAUUUGGAGUUUCGUUAUUUGUCCUAAAUAUAUAUAGUGGUAAAUUUAUCGCUAUACAAUUUAACCUUAAAUUUAAUAAAAAAAAAUUUAUUAUAAUAUUUAAAUAUAAUUUAUUAUAAAAUUUAUUAUAAUAUUUAAAUAUAAAUAAUAUGUAUUAUUGUAGUACAAUUAAUAAUUUUAUAAUAAAAACAAUGUAUUAUAACAUAUAACAAAUUAUAUUUAUAUAAUUUAAUUUUAAUUUAAUUUGUAAUUUUAAUUAAGUUUGAAAUUAAGCAUUGGAAUAACACUAUUCCACCAAAAUGGUGGAAUAGCAAAUCCCUUGCUAUUCCGGAAUAACCGAGAAUAAUAAGGUUUGACCGGGAUAAAAUAUCUCGGUAAAAACUCACCCCGUUUGGCGGAAUAGCGGGGAUAACUUUCGUUAUCCCCACUUAUUCCCCGAACCAAACGGGGCCUUAAGGAACAGUAGGGUGGAGUACCGGUGUACCACCUGGCUACGCCUUAUUGGCCCAACAACUAGAAUACAUUUAGAAGUAUCAAUGUCACGCACCGCGACCGCCAAUUUGAUCGGUUCGGGUACGUCGAUCAGACGCCGAACGGACAGAGCCUCUUCUACCCGCCCAAGGCUAACAACAACGAGAUCAUGUAUGUAAACAGUUGCCUAGGAAACAUUAAUCUCAUAUAUGAUCUAAGCAAGUACUAAUAUAAGCAACCAACAAAAGAGAAGAAGAUCUAGCUAUUACAAGUCCAUUCAACAUAUACAUCGAGUUUACAUUUUUCAUCUCCAAAAUAUAGUGUUCAUCCACAACUCUCCAAAAUACAUAUACAUCAGGUCCUCUCAUCUAUACAGUGUGUACUAAUGCAUAAGGAAAGCUACUAGCUAGCUAGGGCGCUAUGCCCUUACGGCGGUCCUCGCCCGAUCCGCUAGAACUCGGCCCUGCAACAAAGUGGGGUGAGAACUAUAUAAAUAUAGUUCCCAGUGGGUUCGGCCGCCGACUCCGCUGAUCUUCCCACUAAGUCUAAGCAGGCAUAAGUAGAUAGAUAGAUAGAUAGAUAUGAAAAUGAGCUGCUACAUAGUAACAAAACCUACAACAUGCUACUAUGCCUCAAUAAACAGGAUGAAUGCAUGAACAUAGUAAUGUACUCUACUAACAUGAUACUAUGUCCCCAAAUUGCAUGAUAUAAAUGAAUGUCUACAUAGUAAUGAAACCUACUAUCAAGGACUAUAUCUGAUGUCCAAUCUCAUCUCGGCUAACCCGUAGGUUACGCCCAAACUCACAUCUCCAAUCUCAUCUCUGCGCUACACACAACCGAGACCUCCUGCUGGGUAAUCAUGUUACCCAAACGCGACAUCUACUCUGGAGCUCACUACUUGGGUGGAACGACCACGCCAAAGUUACACAGACUAUGUGAGUACGAUCCAAUCCUCUCACUCGAUGAUAGUUAGUGCCUCUGUUGCACUAAUUCACAUGCUACUACUUAGGAAAUCAUCUUUAAUCCUAAGUUCAUGUCAUCAAGUUGUAAGUGUUCCAACUACACUAAUUUACAUGCCACUACUCAGGAAAUCAUCUUCUAUUCAUAAGCUCAUAUCAUAGUAUUUCUACUACACUAGUCCAAAUGCCACUCUUUGAGUUCAUUUACAUGUCCAAGUUCAUCUUUUAUUUUUUGGCACUAUAGGAUUCCAUAUAAAGACCCAAUCCUCAUGUGUCCACUAAAUCAAGUGCUCAACUCACUAUAUGAUCUCUACUAUGGAAACAUGUAAGGAAUUGAAGUACAAUUACUUAACAUAACCUAUAAUGUAUGAUAACAAUAUAUAAACAUAUGCUAUAAUAAAACAACUCGGACAUAGAAAAAAGUUCAACCGCUUCGGGAUGGACACCCCCCACCUUCUGGUGAUGCUACGAAGCUAGACUCCAAGUUUCAUAAAUUUUCGCCGCCUAUUCCUUCUGACUGCGGCAAACGAAGCCAAAAACAGGCUUUUCUUUAAUAUCUUUGCGCUGACUCGUCGGAUCGCCGAACCGAAUUCACCAACGCAUUCAAUUACCUAGCAAAUAGGCAUAAAACAGAUCAACCCCAACUUUGGAUCUCAAUUUAACAAAACCCUUUUUCGGAACCCUAGAUGUUCGAUCUUGCAUGAAUACACCAUAAGGAUCCUCGAUUCAAGCAAAUAACAUCUAUUUAGCAUCAAAGGGUUCUACUAAAACCAAUUCUAGAGUUUAAAACUCAAACCCUAGAAUUCUACCAUUAAAUCUCCAAGAGCUUACCUGUCCACAACUCCUCCAAGCCAAGGAAGAAGAUGAAGAAGACGAAGAUCCACUUCCUUGCUUCAAUCUCCUCCAAUCCCUCCUCUUUGAUCAACCCUUGAGAGAGCUUCUAAAGAGAGAGAGAGAAAAAUGAGGAGGAUGAGUGUUCUUUGGCUGUGAACAAGAGAGGAGGAGAUGGGGUCCUUUUAUAAGCUGCCAUAAUUGUAAUAAAACUCCCUAACAAUUGCUAUUUGCAACAUACUGCAACCUGCAAUUUUCUGCACUUGGUAUCGGUACGCGAGAAGUCUGUCACCGGUUAACCAAUUACGGAAUAGCCAAACCCGAGAGCUGCUGUAAGAUAUUGAAUCCCCGUGGUAAUAAACAAUUUUUGGUCAAAGUGACCAAAGCGUGGUGAGAGAGAUGCUUAGACAUACUCUAUUUAACAUUCCAAAGAUAUUGGAAGGGUCAAAGUUGAGUUUUAAAAGAGAUAAAUGAGUAUUAGCAUUGCUCGGCACAAAAUAGAAGUCGAACAAGUGCAAUCUGCAGUCUCGGCAUUUUGUAACCGGUUAAACAUCAGGGCUGUACCGGUACCAUGUAGCAGACCGAGAGCAGCUGCUCUCGGAUUUGAGUAUUUUUGACUAUUAAACCGGUGAUACCCUGGCUUGUACUGGUACCAGCACUGUUACCCGAGAAGUUAACUCUCGGGUUUGGCUGCUGCGUAGCUGUUAAACCGGUGACAAAGUCCCGUGUACCGAUACCAGGUGCAGAAAACUGUAGAUUGCAGUAUGUUGCAAAUGGCAAUUGUUGAGGGGUCUUAUUACAAUUAUGGCAGCCUAUAAAUGGACCCCAUCACCCUCUCUUGUGUUCACAACCAGAGAACACCUCCCUUAUCAUUUUUCUUCCUCUCUCUCUCUCUAGAAGCUCCCAAGGCGGAGACUAGUGGAGGGAUUGGUGGAGAUUAAAGCUUGGAAGUGGAUUUUUGUCUUCUUCAUCUUCUUCCUUGGCUUGGAGGAGUUGUGGAGAGGUAAGCUUUUGAAGCUUUAAUGGUAGAUUUCUAGGGUUAGUUUCUUAGACUCUAGAAAUGAUUUUAGUAGAGCCCUUUUAUGCUAAGUAGAUGUUAUUUGCUUGAAUCGAGGCUCCGUGUGGGGUAUUCUUGCAAAGUUAGACAUCUAGGGUUAAAAAGAGGGUUUUGUUAAAUUGAGAUCUAAAGUAGGGAUUGAUCUCUUUUAUACCUAUCUGCUAGGUAGGCGAGCGCGUUGGUGAACUCGGUUCGGCGAUCCGACGAGUCGGCGCGAAGAUAUUAAAGAAAAGCCUGUUUUUGGCUUUGUUUGCCGCAGUCGAGAGAGAUUGGCGACGAAAAAUUACGAAAGUUGGAACCUAGCUUCAUGGCAUCACCAGAAGGUGGGGGGUGUUCAUCCCGAAGCAGUCGAAAUUCUUCCUAUGUCCAAGUUAUUUUAUUAUAGCAUAUGUUCAUAUAUUAUUAGCAUGCAUUAUAGGUUAUGUUAAGUAAAUUGCACUUCAAUUCCUUGCAUGUUUUCAUAGUAGAAAUCAUAUAGUGAGUUGAGCACUUGAUUUAGUGGACACAUGAGGAUUGGAUCUUGACAUGGAAUCCUAUAGUGCCGAGGAACAAAAGAUGAACUUGGACAUGUAAAUGAAACCAAAGAGUGGCAUUUGGACUAGUGUAGUAGAAACAUUAUAACAUGAACUUAGGAAUAGAUAAUGAUUUCCUGAGUAGUAGCAUGUAAACCAAAGAGUGGCAUUUGGACUUGUGUAGUCGGAAUACUUACAGCUUGAUGACAUGAACUUAGGAAUAAAGAUGAUUUCCUAAGUAGUAGCAUAUGAACUAGUGCAAGAGGCACUAACUAUCCUCGAGUGAGAGAAUUGGAUCGUACUCACAUAGUCUGUGUAACCUUGGCGUGGUCGCUCCACCCCAAGUAGUGAGCUCCGGAGUAGAUGUCUUGUUUGGGUAACAUGAUUAUCCAACAGGCGGUCUCGGAUGGUGUAGCGCAAAGUCGAUCUACUCAUCAGCGAGAUUUGAGAUGUGAGUUUGGGCAUAACCUUUUGGUUAGCCGAAAUGAGAUUGGACAUCAGACAUAGUACUUGAUAGUAGGUUUCAUUACUAUGUAAACAUUUUCUUUACAUCUUACAGUUUGAGACAUAGUAUCAUGUUAGUAGAGUACAUUACUAUGUUCAUGCAUUCAUACUGUUGAUUGAGGCAUAGUAGCAUGUUGUAGGUUUUGUUACUAUGUAGCAGCUCAUUUUCAUAUCUAUCUAUCUAUCUACUUAUGCCUGCUUAGACCUAAUGGGAAGAUCGGCAGAGUCGGCGGCCGAACCCACUAGGAACUAUAUUUAUAUAGUUCUGACCCCACUUUGUUGCAGGGCUGAGUUCGAGCGGACCGGGCGAGGACCGCGGUAAGGGCAUAGCGCCCUAGUUAGCUAGCAGCUUUUCUUUAUGCAUUAGUACACCCUGUAUAGAUGAGAGGACUUUAUGUAUAUGUAUUUUGGAGAGUUGUGGAUGAACAUGUAUACAUUUUGGAGAUGAAAAAUGUAAACUCGAUGUAUAUGUUGAAUGAAGUUGUAAUAGCUAGAUCUUUCUCUCUUUUGUUAAUUGCUUGUCAUUACUUGUAUUAGUACUUGCUAUAUCAUGUAUGUGGUUCAUGUUUCCUGGGCAACUGUUAAGUACAUGAUCUUGUUGUUGUUAGCCUUGGGCGGACAAGGAAGACUCUGUUCGUUCGGCGUCUGAUCGACGUACCCGAACUGACCAAAUUGGCGGUCGCGGGGCGUGACAGCUGCCUUCUCGGGUAGCUGACCUGGUACCGGUAUGCACCAGGGGUGUCACCGGUUUAACAGCCUAAAAUACUCAAACUUGAGAGCAGCUGCUCUCGGGUGCCUGCCUGGUACUGGUACCACCAUGAUGUUUAACCGGUUACAAAAUGCCCAGACUGCAGUUUAGCACUUGUUCGACUUCUACUUCGCGCCGAGCAAUGCUAAUACUCAAUUAUCUCACUUGGAGUUCAACUUUAACCCUUCCAACAUUAUUGGAAUGUCAUAUGAACUAUGUCCAAGCAUCUCUCUCGCCAUGCUUUGGUCCUUUUGACCAAAAGUGGUUUUAUACAACAGGGAUUCAAUAUCUUACAAUCAACCCCUUGAUUUAUGGCCCUUAGAUCUAUCAUUGACUACUAAUAGCAAUUAAAUAAAAUACUAUUCCACCUACCACCAUCUGCCACCGUCAUCCUACCCCUACACCACUCCAUCCAAGGGCUACAAACUCAAACGUACCAACCCCUUGAUACUUUUGAGAGUAUUCUAACUCAACUAUAUAUACAUAUGUAUAUAUGCAUAUAUAUAUACAUAUGUAUAUAUAUGCAUAUAUACAUAUGUAUAUAUGCUUACAUAUAUACAUAUAUACAUAUAUGCAUAUAUACAUAUGCAUAUAUAGUUGAGUUAGAAUACUCUCAAAAGUAUCAAGGAGAUGGUACGUUUGAGUUUGUAGCCCUUGGAUGGAGUGGUGUAGGGGUAGGAUGACGGUGGCAGAUGGUGGCAGAUGAUGGUAGAUGGAAUAGUAUUUUAUUUAAUUGCUAUUAGUAGUCAAAUGAUAGAUCUAAGGGCCAUAAAUCAAGGGGUUGAUUGUAAGAUAUUGAAUCCCCGUUGUAUAAAACCACUUUUGGUCAAAAGGACCAAAGCAUGGCGAGAGAGAUGCUUGGACAUAGUCCAUAUGACAUUCCAAUAAUGUUGGAAGGGUUAAAGUUGAACUCCAAGUGAGAUAAUUGAGUAUUAGCAUUGCUCGGCGCGAAGUAGAAGUCGAACAAGUGCUAAACUGCAGUCUGGGCAUUUUGUAACCGGUUAAACGUCAGGGUGGUACCAGUACCAGGCAGGCACCCGAGAGCAGCUGCUCUUAAGUUUGAGUAUUUUAGGCUGUUAAACCGGUGACACCCCUGGUGCAUACCGGUACCAGGUCAGCUACCCGAGAAGGCAGCUGUCACGCCCCGCGACCGCCAAUUUGGUCGGUUCGGGUACGUCGAUCAGACGCCGAACGAACAGAGUCUUCCUCGUCCGCCCAAGGCUAACAACAACAAGAUCAUGUACUUAACAGUUGCCCAGAAAACAUGAACCACAUACAUGAUAUAGCAAGUACUAAUACAAGUAAUGACAAGCAAUUAACAAAAGAGAGAAAGAUCUAGCUAUUACAACUUCAUUCAACAUAUACAUCGAGUUUACAUUUUUCAUCUCCAAAAUGUAUACAUGUUCAUCCACAACUCUCCAAAAUACAUAUACAUAAAGUCCUCUCAUCUAUACAGGGUGUACUAAUGCAUAAAGAAAAGCUGCUAGCUAAUUAGGGCGCUAUGCCCUUACCGCGGUCCUCGCCCGGUCCGCUCGAACUCAGCCCUGCAACAAAGUGGGGUCAGAACUACAUAAAUAUAGUUCCUAGUGGGUUCGGCCGCCGACUCUGCCGAUCUUCCCAUUAGGUCUAAGCAGGCAUAAGUAGAUAGAUAGAUAGAUAUGAAAAUGAGCUGCUACAUAGUAACAAAACCUACAACAUGCUACUAUGCCUCAAUCAACAGUAUGAAUGCAUGAACAUAGUAAUGUACUCUACUAACAUGAUACUAUGUCUCAAACUGUAAGAUGUAAAGAAAAUGUUUACAUAGUAAUGAAACCUACUAUCAAGUACUAUGUCUGAUGUCCAAUCUCAUUUCGGCUAACCAAAAGGUUAUGCCCAAACUCACAUCUCAAAUCUCGCUGAUGAGUAGAUCGACUUUGCAAGGGGUGAUACUUUUGAGAGUAUUCUAACUCAACUAUAUAUACAUAUGUAUAUAUGCAUAUAUAUAUACAUAUGUAUAUAUAUGCAUAUAUACAUAUGUAUAUAUGCUUACAUAUAUACAUAUAUACAUAUGUAUAUAUGCAUAUAUAUACAUAUGUAUAUAUAUGCAUAUAUACAUAUGUAUAUAUAGUUGAGUUAGAAUACUCUCAAAAGUACCUACUACAUAUAUAUGUAUAUGUAUAUAUGUAUAUAUGGAGUAGGUCUUGUGUGCUAUUAGGAGCACGGAGGCCUCCGUGCUCCUAAGCCGUUUUCGAUUAUGAAGCUUAAGAAUCGACGAUCGGCUCUGUUAGACUUGAUCUAGCGUAUUUGAAGUAUCUAGAAAAUAAAUUUUGCGAUUUUUUGAUAUCAUUUACCUAGCAAUCGAAAAGGUUCAAAAUCAACAAUUUUUAAUGGUUGAUAUAUAUCGUUUGCAAGUUUAACUGUAUAGAAGUAUUCAAAUCAGAUAAAAUUUUAUUAGAAAAUUCUUUAUACUAUUUACUGCAAGAUCAAUAUCUUUGAUUGAAAAUUUUAGUGGUAUAUCACUACUUUUUGUGAGAUUUUUAUUUUCAGCCGUUGAUUUUGAACCCUUUCGAUCGCUAGGUAAAUGAUAUCGAAAAAUCGCAAAAUUUAUUUUCUAGAUACUUCAAAUACGCUAGAUCAAGUCUAAUGGAGCCGAUCGUCGAUUCUCAAGCUGCAUCAUCGAAAACAAAUUAGGAACAUGGAGGCCUCCGUGCUCCUAAUAGCACACAAGAUAUAUAUAUAUAUAUAUCUAUAUAUAUAUAUAUGUGUGUGUGUGUGUGUGUGUGUGUGUGUGUGUGUGUGUGUAGAGUCCGGCUGAGAUACUAUCGAUAGCACCAAGAAUUUGGUGCUAUCGAGUUUUCUACCGUUAGAUUUAACCCUUUGAUUAUUUUUACCCAUUAGAUUAUACUAUUCAACCAACCACUCACUCAACCCUAAGGGGCCCACAUCAUCCUAACCGCACAAUUCUCAAUCUAAGAGCUAAAAAACUAAUAGCACCAAUGACUUGGUGCUAUUGAUAGUAUUCCAGCCUAGUUCUAUAUAUAUAUAUAUAUAUAUAUAUAUAUAUAUAUAUAUAUAUAGAGAGAGAGAGAGAGAGAGAGAGAGAGAGAGAGAGAGCGCUAGGCUGGUAUACUACCGAUAGCACGGAGACCUCUGUGAUAUCAAGUUGUUUUCAAUGAUGCGGCUUCCAAGUCGACGAUCGGUUCCGUUAAACUUGAUCUACACUAUUAAAAAUAUUUGGAAACUAAAUUUCAUAAUUUUUCGGCAUCAUUUGGCUAGUGAUCAAAAAGUCCCAAAAUUGACAAUUUUAAUGGUAGAUGUGAUGCGUUUGUGAAUUUAACAGUAUAAAACAAUCCAAAUUUGAUGAAAUUUUUAUAGAAAAUUCUUUUUAUUAUUUAGAGUAAGAUUAGUACCUCUGAUCUUAAAUUCAAGUUUUUUAUCAUCAUUUUUUAUGAGAUUGUUAUUUUCAGCCGUUCAUUUUUAGACUACUCGUUUGAUAGGUAAAUGAUGCCGAAAAAUUAUGAAAUUUAGUUCCAAAUACUUUUAAUAGUGUAGAUCAAGUCUAACGGAGCCGAUCAUUGAUUUGAUAGCCGCAUCAUUGAAAACAACUUGGUAGCACAGAAGCCUCCGUGCUACCCAUAGUAUACCAGCCUAUAUAUAUAUAUAUAUAUAUAGAAUUGAGCUCCUAUACUUUUAAAAGUACCAAGUCAUUGGUGCAUGUAAGUUUUUAAUCCUUGGAUUAAGGAAUAUGCGGUUAAGAUGAUGUGGCCCCCCUAGGGUUAAGUGGGUGGUUGGUUGAAUAGUAUAAUCUAACGGGUGAAAAUGAUCAAAGGCGUAGAUCUAACAGUAAAAAAUUUACAAACACCAAAUACUUGGUACUUUUAUAAGCACCAUAGCUGGACUAUAUAUAUAUAUAUAUAUAUAUAUAUAUAUAUAUAUAUAUAGGCUAAAUUACAGAAAAUCCCCUGUAAAAAUCCGUUUUUUCACUUCCCCCCCUGACAUUUAAAAAUCUACACUUUGCCCCCUCCUAAUUACAGAAUUGUGCACAGGGGGCUACGCCGCUAACAGAAAGCAUGAAAUAACAAUAAUGCCUUUACUUUUAACAUGACGGAGGAAGAGAAAGAGUUAAUUGUCAUUCGUUUCUUUGUUGGAGAAAUCUAGGGUUCUAUCCCUUCAGGAGGAUGAGCUGAGUCGAAACCUAGGCGCAAGCAAAAGGCGAGCGCUUGCGUUGCGAACCAAGGAGAAAGGCGAAGAAUCGACCAUGAGAGAGUGAUCACGCUUGGCUGAGGUACCCCUUACUCUUCUGAGGUAUAGUUAUACUUUUGAGUUGAAAUGUUAUUUUAAUCCAUGUGGUCCCUAAUAUUCAUGUGGUUCAGAUUUUUCCUUUGGAGUUUGUAGUUUUGCAAUAUUUUAUCAUGUUUUAAUUGUUUUGAAGGUUGGUUUGAUAUUUUCUAAUACGAAACUCUUUGUGGUCCCAAAUUAUGUAUUAACUUGUGUAUGUGAUGCAUUUAUAUUUUUUAUUUAAUUUAGGUUUGAUAUUUUCUAUUAUAAAAUGCUUAUUCUUUGAUAUUUUCUAAAAUGAAAUACUUGUGGUCCCAAAUAUGUAUGUUAUUUCUAUGUGAUGCAUUUAUAUAAUUUGCUUUGUUAUAUGGGGUCUUACUGCUUUCUACUUAAUUAAUCUUUUUUUAUUCUAAUUUAUUGUACCAUACAGAUGGAGUUGAGGACUCUCAAAAUUCACUAUGGUGGAUUUUUUAAAGGAGAUCCUAUAACAGAAUACCAUGGGGGAUCAAUAUCAUAUGCCGAUAAUGUCGAUCCAGACUUGAUGUCCACUAUUGAAUUAUGGGAUAUGCUUCGGAGCCUUGGAUUAACGAAAGAAUAAAUGAUAUACUACACUAUGUCUAUUGGAGAUAUAUCUAAUGGCCUAAAGCUUGAGGAUAUAUAGUGAUAAAGUAGUUCUAGAUAUGCUUAAGUGCCAUGAUGAAUUUGGUGUCAUUUUGCUCUACGUAGUUUUUCCUUAAAUGGUAGAUGCAGAGGCUUUAAAUGAGCUCACUGAAGAUGGUCCUUUACAUGGGAAGCAACUAAAGAAAAAUAUCAACAAUGCUAAGAAGCAAGUGAAGAAAAAGAUCACUGAAGAUGAGGCUCAAAAGAUGUAGAUGGACAGGGGAAGCAAGUGAAGCAGAAUGCAAAUGUAGUUGGUGAUAGUGAGAAGGGAAUCAAUGAGCCUCAUGAUGGAAAUGUAAGUGAAGGGGUUGAAGGAAACAAGGCUCAUGCUGAAGAAGAUGUUGAAGAUGGAUCAGAAAGUGAUAGUUCAUUUGAUGAAUGGAGCAACUUUGGUGAUAGUGAUGAGGAUAGUAUUAAUAAUAGUGAUUUCUGCAUUAAUACCUGCAAUGUAGAGGAGGAAGAUGGUACUCAUGGAACAGGUCAGGGAUGUCCCACUACUUUUGAACCAAAACAUGCUGAUGAUAAUGAGAAGGGAGCAAAAAAUGUUGAAGACAAUGAUCAAAGUUCAGAGUAUCAGCCUAGUGAGGAUCUUGAUAGCAUGUCUUCAUCAGAUGAAGAUGGUCCUUCAUGGCCAAAGUACCCUGUGUACAACAAAAGAGAUAUGGAAAGAAUAGAGCUUAAAUUGGGUAUGAAAUUUGCAUCAGCUUCAGAGUUUAGAACAGUGCUAAGGAAUCAUGCAAUAUCAAAUGGAUAUGACUUCAAUUUUGUGAAGAAUGAUGGUGAUAGAGUUACUGUGAAGUGCAAGAAAGAUACUACUACUCAGAAAAGAUGUGAAUGGAGGGUUCAUACAUCUUGGAAUGCAUAUGAGGAAUGUUUCUGUCACGCCCCGCCCCGAAACCACUACCAAUUCGGCACGGUUCGGCCGCGGCGGCGGGCCGCCGAACGGACAGCACCUCCCCUGUCCGCCCAAGGCUCAACAACAGGAAUGUGUACAAGAAUUUACCCAGGAAAUUAAAUUCUAAGCAUACACAUUCACGAGGGCACAAACAGUGCCAACAAUACAGAGAGCAAGCGAUCCAUAAGAUAAAACUAGUGAAAUAAAUAGAGUACUUUACUAACUAUUAUAAUAGUUCCAACAUUCUCAUUUACAUCAUUUUCUUUAAAUGAAUAUAUUUGUCAUCCAAAAUACAUAGCUCUCCAAAUCCUCACCUACAAUGAAUCUCUCUCUAUACAUAGGUGACUAAUGCAAAAAGGAAAGAUACUAUACUACCACGGUCUCACUGGUCGGGCGCGAUGCCCUUGCCGCGGUCCUCUCUCUGCAGCCCUGAACCUACCACUGGAAAUAGAGUGGGGUGAGAACUAUCUUCCAUAGUUCCCAGUGGGCUCGGCCGCCGACUCUGCCGAUCUCCCCACUAGGUCCAAGUGGGCACAAGUAACAACAGAUAGAUAGAUAGAUAUGUAUCUGAAAGCUGUAAAUGCAGUAGUAGGAAAACUAUGCUACUAUGCCCAUAAUCAUGAAUAUGAAUGCAUGCAUCAUAUAAUAAAGGUUUGCUACCAUGCUAACAAAUUCGAUCCAUGUUCGAAUAGUAAUGUUCAAUGACAUUUAUAAACCUUUAACCUUUUUCAUUUACCCAAUCUGUGGCGAGGCCCUAGGGCUCGCCCAUGACUCACCUUCAAAUCCCAAAGUGGGGAGGGAGCUCCAAGUGCACCCAAGCCCGGGACCGUCUGCGGACCUCCAUGUGGUCCGGACCUCCAAGUGGUCCUAGUCGCGCGACACUCCGGAGUACUCGACGACAAUCCCCUCCAUGUGGGGAUUGGAUGGCUAUGCCACCCUAAACGCAGACUGUGAGCUAGAUCUAUCCUCUCCAUGUGAGGAUACACUGUAACUAGGGUCAACACCCAAUCCAAUCCUCUCCAAGUGAGGAGGCUCUACAACUAGAGUCAAUAACCCAAUCGAAUCCUCUCCAAGUGAGGACGCCCUACACUAGGGUCAACGACUAUCGCGGAAUCAUCGGUUCCCGACAUUCAUGCAAUGCUAUUUAGUUUUCUAAAUUCAUUGUUCACAAGGCAUUUUCUAAGGGAUCCACCUAUCCCUAGGUCCAUCGACCUCUAGUGUUAUUUACACUACAUUAAUGCCACUCGUCAUCAUUUAUCAUUCGGAUGCCACUCGUGUUCUUUAACACUAUCCACUACUUCCUAUGUCAUCAAUACCCCCAUCGGGUUCAUCUCUUUUCUUUCGCAUCAUAGGAUCCACGUUCCGACCCAAUCCUCACCUAUCUAAGUUACCAAGCGUUCCAAGUACACUAGGUUAUCAUUUAGAAAGCAUAAGGAAUGGUGCUACUAUGCAAUCCUACAAUGCAACAUGAAGAGAUGAGAUUAAAUGCAAUCUAAGACAUAGAAAGGAGUUCGAAAGCUUCGGGAUGGCACCCCCCACCUUUAAUCGAUGUAGAGGCUUAGGAAAUCCUUCUCGGCGAGCUCUACGAAAAGGCUUUAGCCUUCCUUGCCCAAAUCCAAGCUAUCCCGGCCCUAUUUUGCCGAGAACUCCACGCCGGCUCGCCAAAUGCUAAAACCGACUUCGCCCCCACGUUUCGUGACCUACCAAUAGGGUUUCCAAGGCUUCAAAUGAGAUCAAUCUCAUAUUUUCACAAAAAUUCCAUUUUGGAGCCCUAGGUUUGCAUCUAUAGCAAACCACCCAAUAAAUCCCUAGAUUCUUAGGAUUGAUCUAUUUAGAAGCAUGCUUAGGGUUCAUUUGACCCAUUCCAAAGCAUAAAAACCCAAAACCCUAAGUUUUACAAGCUAGGGUUUGUAGCUUACCUCUUGAGCUACACCAAUGGAGAAGAGAGAAAGAGAGGAAGAUGCUCCAAGCCUUCUCUAUCUUCUUCUCCUCUUUCUUCUUCUUCUCCUCCUUCUUCUUCUUCUCUUUCUUCUUCUUCUUCUCUUUUGUUCUUUCUUUUCUAGAGAGAGAGAGAGGGAGGAAGAGAGAGUGUGAGAAAUAGAGAAAAUGAAAGGGUGUGAGGGAGAGAGAGGGCCCAGCCCACUCUAAUAAAGGCCAUUUUGCAUUUAGACCCCUCAACUUUUCCUCCAUUGUACAGCUCUCACUGGGCAGUUUUCGCCUAGAGGGACCGGUCCCUGGUCGGGGAUACCGGUCCCCGAGAGCUCUCCCUGCAGUCUGGGGACUUUUCGCGUUCGGGAACCGGUCCUCACCUUAGGGACCGGUCCCUGGGAGACCGGUCUCUUCUAAGAGACCGGUUCCCGAACGGGGAACCUUCAGGACUUAGCCAAAUUUUGGCUUUUCUUCGCGGGUGUCGCGCACGGGGACCGGUCCCUUCAGCCAGGGACCGGUCGCAUCGACCUCCCCCGCGACCAUCAGCUACGGGGACCGGUCCUUCCCUCCAGGGACCGGUCCCCGAGAGCAAAAAUCUGCUGAGUCCAGAUUUUGCCUAUUUGCUCUCGCGGACUCAACUCCAAAGCACUUUUUGUGUUUUGGACAUUCUCAACUCCCACAAAGGGUAUACUCUCGACAGUUAGUCGAUCCUGGAUGAAGUACAAUCGUCGGAUUUCGAGAAUUCACUUCCUUACAGUUUCCAAAUAAACUCUUUGCAACCUGAGCAUAAGUGUGGUAGGCAAUUCAUAAACCACCAAGCUACUUCAUCGUGGAUUGCACAUAAAUACUUGGAGCAAUUGAGAGAUGAUCCAAAAUGGGGAACAUCAACAAUGAAGAAGACAAUGAGGGAGUUGUGCAUUGAUGUCUCUAGAAGCCAAAUAUACAGAGUUAAGAGAAAGGCAAAGGAGGUUAUAAUGGGAUCUCAUAUAGAUCAGUUUAUGAAGUUGUGGGAUUACUGCAAUAUCAUCAGGGUAAGACCAGUUUAUGAAGUUGUGGGAUUACUACAAUAUCAUCAGGGUAAGAAAUCCAGGAAGCCUUGCUUUCUUACAUGUGGAGAGGCCUCAUCCUGAGUUAGCCCCAGUAUUUCAGCAGAUCUUUGUAUUAUAUGAUGCUCAAAUCAAUGGAUUAAAGGAAGGAUGUAGACCUUGGGAUAGCUGGUUGUUUUCUGAAGAGAUCAUUUGGUGGACAACUUAUUAGUGCUAUUGGUAGAGAUGGAAAUAAUCAAAUGUUUCCAAUUGCAGUAGCUGUUGUAGAAGCAUAACUAAAGGAUUCAUGAAAUUGGUUUUUAACAAAUUUGCUACAAGCUAUCGGACCAGCAGAGGCUCAUGGGUGGACUUUCAUAUCUGGUAGACAAAAGGUGUAGUGUUCUAGAGUUUCGGAUAGGAUUGGCUUCAGUGUUAGUGACUAGUCGACACAUCUGGAGAGUGUCGGACUGAGUCGGAGUAAACUCUGCACGAAAUGGAUGCAGAAAUAGACUCGGCGCACUCAAAUAAGCAAAACUGGAGUUUUGCCAGAUUCGGGCGUCCAGAGCAGGUUUUGGGUCGCCCAGAAGUUGAGUGCAGAACUAGGCAGAACUGGAAGCCAAUUCGGGUCCAUGUUUCGGGCGCCCGGAUGUGGGUCCGAAAAUUCACUUUGGAAGUAUCGUUUGCGCUGACAUGUGGCUGGUGGUAGGUGAGGUUGUAAGUUUUGGGGUAGCUCAGGGAUCUAUCUAGAUUGUAUCUAACACCUAGAGGGGGGUGAAUAGGUGUAAAAGCCGAAAACCACAAAUCUCAAUGCGAUAACAGUAAAUGCGAAAAAAUAAAAAACACACCAAGAUUUACGUGGAAAACUCCAACUAGGAGUAAAAAACCACGAGACCAACACGCGAUAACAAUCCACUAAGAAUAAAAGAUUACAAGGUGAUUUACCGAUUCCACAUACUCAAACCUCUCUUUUAUUUUCUCCGGAUCUCGCGCACACCAACGGGUUGUCCACGCCCCACGUCCGAAUCCAUGAACGCCACAUCCCGAAUCCACGAAAUGUCCACACUUCGAAUCUACGAAGCCUUGAUCACGCCGAAUCCACGACGCCCACUCGAAUCUACGAGCACACUUCGUCCGGAGAAAGAAUACCAAGAUUGAUGAUGAUUUAUUGCUUAGACAAUUAUUAAAGAACCGUAGACGAUGUUUCUAAGCAAUAGCCAGAUCAAUUCCCCAUGAAGAAUAAGAAAUUUUGAGUUACACGAAUUGAUCCGAUAGAAACUUGUUGUUCGAGAGAAGAAAGAAUGCACCCAACAAGUUUCUAGGGUUUCAAAAAGAUAUUCUAUCCUUCGUACUAUUUUAGAAACACCCCUACAUCUUAUUUAUAGUUUUAGAAAACUUAGAAACAGACUAGGAUUGCAAAAACCCAAUUUUAAAAACUGACGUCGUCCUCAGGGACCGGUCUUCUCGAGGAGACCGGUCUUUGGGAGACCGGUUCCUCGAGUGGGAGACCGGUCCCUCAUUGCGUGACAGAAAAUCCAUCGCUCUGGAACCGGUUUCACUUUUUAGAGACCGGUUGCCUCAACUUUCCACGCAUAGAGGACCCUCGGGGACCGGUCUCCCAUCUCAGGGACCGGUCCCAGAACACUAAAAUGUUCAGAUUUAGCAUUUUAAUACAAUCUAAGUCUUCCAAACACUUUUAAAUAUUUAUAAAUCAUCAUCAAUGGUAUUUAAACUUACCGAGCAUUGUGCAUUCAUGUUUUGAGUCUUCGAGUCUUCGAUCUUCAUCUCUUCUUCUUCAAACAUUCAAGACUCCGACUAACUUCACGAAAUAUGCCAACAUAAAAUCCGUAAUAGAGGUCCGCCUGAGCCGGUUAUGGGCACAACACACUGCGGGCGGAGGACCCGAAGGUGAGCAAGUGUGUAGUUUGGAGGUUUCAGGCGCCCAGAGAAGGGUUUUGGGCGCCCGAAAGUGCCCGUUUUUGCAGAAUUACAGAUUUGCAGCUGUUGUUCCUGAGGCUUAUUGGACCGUCCUAACACCCUAUAAAUAGGUGAUGUUCGACCACAGUGAGCUCUUUUCAUCUGUUCUUCACAGAGAAGCCUCAAAUUGCAUCUUAAUCCUCCAAAUCAAAUCCCACAAUUCCAAGCUUGAAGAGUGCUGAUUCUGUAGAUUUCCAGCAAUGACCUUCGGCAUUUCGGCUCGUGUGUGACGUAGAAAGGUCGGAUUGCGGUGAAACUUGGUUUGUUGGAUUCUUGACUUCAAGAGGAAUUCGUGGAGGCCAAUUUGACAGAAUUUGGUUGAGGUUAGCUUGGUCGAUUCCAUAUUUUUCUUCACUAUUGGCAGUUUUGACCUGAAAAUAGGAUUUUUGAUUGGUUCUUGAUGCUAUCUUUGGAAGCAGUGGAAUUUUGGAUCUGAGCUGGAUAUUCCUUUAUGUUUCGCUUUUGGGACUUGGCUACACCUGAUUUGAGGGUUGAAAGGUAGAAUUAGAAUUAUAAUUGAGCCAAUUUUAGCUUAAGUGCUGAAAUUAUAGUUGUAUUGAUGGAUUUUGAUCUUAUUAAGGUUUAGAGUUUGGUGAACUCUUGUUGCUGGACUUGGAGGAACUUCGGUUGAUCCAGCAGGGAUUCUUAGUGGUUCGAGACCUUCUUGCUGCUAGAAAUUGCAUUAGAGGUGGGUUUUCAUCGAGUUACUCCUAAGUGCAUAUAUAGUCGACGUGUAUGAUUUUCAUUUUUUUGUCUUCUAUUCAGUUUGAUUGAAUUCAUCGAUUAGCUUUGGGCUGUAAUCUGAAUUGUAAAGCAUGCUGAAUGAGUUAAUAAAUUAUACAUGUUGGACUUAAAAUUUUGACUUAGGAGAAAACCAGCGUUUUGACCUGUCAUAUGAUUCUACUACCUGAUUUAGCUCUAGGAGCUGUGUUUUGAUUGUAUCGCCGCUGUUUCAGCGCGGUGGGUACUCAGGGUAGUUUAGAAUGCAUUUGUGCUCGUGCUGAGAUGCCGAGCUUGAUUUUACAGCAGAGUCUAGGCUGUUUCGGGCUGUCGGGUGCCGUCGGGGUUUACGGUGGACCCAGGUUUCUGUUUUUAAUCUCAGAUUGUGCCGAGGGCACUGGGUUUGGUUUCUAGACUUGUUUUGACCCUAUCUACUUGACUUUGGCUUGUUAGAGCCUGAUUGAGCUUGACAGAGAUACGCUGUAUACUCGGUUGGGUAGCUCCCACGAGUGCCACUCCGGAGACGGGCGCUGUGCUUUUGCGUUCGUAUUGUUCGUGCAGGUUGGACUUGCUCUCCACGGACUGGUUAGUGUGGAGGUAGCUGUAUAGUCGCAACCAGGCGGGACGGGUGUGUUCACAGUCCCAGGGACGGGUAUGAUUAUAGUCCUUAUUUGAGAUUGAGUCUGAGUUGACACUGUUCUACAGAUGGUUAGAUUUAGAGCAUGAUAGCAUAGUAGCAUAUAGCUGUAGAUUUGUUCCAGCUUUCUUUAUUAUUCCUGCUUAUCCCUGUAGACUUAGUAGGUGGACUGAUGAGUUUGAGAGUGGUACCCACUGAGGAUUACUUCUUUUUGUAGUAGUUCUCACGCCCAGUUGUUACCACUGUUUUUGCAGAGCCGUCGCCUUCGACUGCUGCUGUUGCUUAUCUUGAUCGUGGCAAGGGCGUCGCGAGAUAGAGCCCUUCCGGUCGAGUCGAAGAGCUAGAGGAGCACCAGCUACAGGUAGUUGUAGUUUUUGGGUCUUUACAUACAGUUGUUGUUAUCUCGCCAGAGCGAGUAUUCGUAUACUUGGAUCACAUGUAUGUAUUGAACCACAGUUUUUAUAUAUGGUUUAUUCUCCUAGCUGCUCUAUACUACUGUUUGUAGUAUUGUAUGAUUACAGGUACUUCUACUUUUUCGCUUCGUAUACAGGAGAAAUACCUAUGUAUACGGCGGGUCUGUUAGUGAGCCCGGGGAAACGAGUAAUCCAGGGCGUGACAAAAGGUAAGAAGUUUCAUUCAAUACAAUGAUGAAAUAAUUUUAAACAUAAUGAAUUAACUGUGAUCUAUUAACUUUUAUUUACUUUUGUACUUAAAUGUCUUAGGAUCUGGUGGAGGUUUUUGAUGCCCUACUUCCAGGAGUAGACCAUAGGUUUUGUGUGCAGCAUAUGUACAAUAAUUUCAAAGAACAGUUUAAGGGCAAAGUAUUGAAAGAUCUGCUUUGGGAGGCAGCUACAUCAUACACUGUGCAAUAUUGGAAAAAGCGUAUGUAAAAAAAUGAAGGAUGCAAAUGUAGCUGCUUACGAUUGGCUCAUGAAAGUGCCACAAAAAAUGUGGACAAUAUCUUAUUUCAGGCCGGAUAUCAAAUGUGAUUUGCUUUGCAAUAAUAUGUGCGAGGCAUGGAACCGUGCAAUACUAGAUGCAAGGGAGCUACGAAUCAUUGAUCUAAUGGAGAAGAUUAGAAAUUAGAUAAUGACAAGGUUUCAAGAGAAAAGACAAUAUAUGAAAAGACAACAUGGUAUUCUAUGCCCUAAAGUGCAAGCAAAGUUGGAGGAAAUAAAAGAAAAGGCUAGACAUUGUGAGCCAUUAUGGGCUGGAGAAACUAUUUUCGAAGUUCAUUGCAAUGGAAAGCAAUACACUGUGAACCUAACAGCAGCAUCUUGUGAAUGUAGGCAGUGGGAUGUCACUGGAGUUCUAUGUAAGCAUGCUGUCUCUGCUAUAUUCAAGCAAAAGUUGGAUCCUAAGGAGUUUGUUCACAAGUAUUUUCUAAAGGAGAUUUAUAUAAGAACAUAUAGCCAAAUGAUCAUGCCUCUACCUGAUUCUUCAAUGUGGCCUAAAGUUGGGAUUAAGCCUAUAAUGCCAUCUCCAUAUAGAAGACAACCAGAUAGACCUAAAAAGCGAGGAAGAGGGCGGUUGAUAAGCCCAAGAAAGGUACAAUUAGUAGAAGAGGUAAGAAGUAUAGAUGUAAGAAGUGUAAAGAAGUCGGACACAACGCUCGGUCUUGCACUAAUACUGUAUGUAGAGAGGAAAUAGUUUGUGAGGGAACAAGUGAAAGCAGAGGAGGGAGACUACCACUGAGUCGAGGAAGGAGACCCUCACUGAAUCGAAGAUGGAGACCACCAGUGAAUCGAGGAGAGGGACCACCAGUGAAUCGAAGAUGGAGAUCACUACUUAGGAGAGGUGGAAGAGCACCAGUAACUUCAAGAGAAAGCAAUGCACACAAAAAUGAAAAGGAAAGAGAAGGAAAAAAAGAGGGUCGGAGAGAGAUGGGCGGAGAAUUUAUCGACGAAGGUGGAAGGCGAAGAAGAGAUGGGUGGAGAAAAUACACACAAAAAUGAAGAAGAAGGAGAAAAAAGAGAAUGAAGAGGAGAAACAGUGUAAUUUUUGCCCAAAGAGUGCAACUUUCAUUCAAAAAGUACAGUUUUUAUUCAAAGAGUGCAACUUUUGUCCAAAAAAGUGUAAUUUUUCUCUUAAAGAGUGCAAGUUUUUUCUAAAAUAGUACAACAUUUUUCUGAAAUAGUGCAACGUUCUCUUAAAACAUUGCAACUUCAUCAUCUUCCUCUUUUCUCUCUGAUUCUUUAUUUUUAUUGUAGAAAAAAAUAUUUUUCUUUAUGUUUUAUUCUUUAUUCUUUUUAUUUUUUUAUUUUCUAGGUUUUUUUUACUCGGCUCCGCUCUCACCCGCACUCGCUUCGAGUUCUCCUUCUCCAGCUCCGGCAUCGGUGCUAGCACCGGCGAAGGCGAAGGAAGAGGAUGUGUGCGCUGCCCUCAUUAGUGUCGAGGAGGGUCGCGGAGGCGAUGGGAUGGGUCGAAGAGAAAAAAAAGAAAGAAAAAAAAAAGAGGAAGAGGACGUGAUGUUAUUCUCUUUACUAUUGUAAAGAAGCAGGGAGACAGUGAAGGAAGGUUGGAGAGAAAAAAAAAGAGGGUCGUGGUGCUCGGUGGGGUCGGAGGCAAGGAAGGUGGAGGGAGGGUGCGCGGGCUUGGACGAGGGUAAGGGUGAGCGAGACAGAGGCGAGGCGGGUCGCCUUCGCCACCGCCACCUUCCUCGGAGAGAAAGAAGAAAAGAUCAAGAGAAAAAAAAGGGGAGAGAGAAAAGGGAAUAAAGGUAGUUUGGUCAGUUUUCUGAAAAUCCAGUCCGAAUUCUGCAAAUCGAAAAUUGUCACGCCCGGGCCCGAGCGGAAGCCUACCCGGUACGUGCACAGACCCGUAGUAUGCCCGGUGCAUACAAGGCGUCUAUAAUAAACAUGUUUGAAACAACCCAAGGAAAUAAAUAAAUCUAACAUGAUAUCAGAGCAUACAUGAUAAACUACUCACUAAAAGCAGGUACAAAGGAAACAACUAACUAACACCAACAGUCUCCAACAUAUACAUACAUCAAGUAGCCAAAAUAAACUAUAUAUACAGGGUGGUCUCUCUAUACAUCAAGUACAAAACUCUCUCUCCAGCUAAAACAAAGGACGAGGUGACCACCUAGCAGAAGCUCCAAGCUAACUCUAGUUAGACGCGACUCCCUCGUCGCAAUCCCUAGCCUCUCCCGCUGUGGAUGGCUCUAAAAAUAAAAACAACAACAACAUGAGAAAAAGAACUAUUGAACAAUAGUUUUCAGUGGGUAAGCCGCCGAUAUCAGCGAAUUACACCACUAGGUCACUAAAGCAUAUAUAGUAAAUAUGAACAACUAAUGGCAUAACAUGAAUAUUAAGCAAGUAAUGAUUUACUAAUACUAUUAUGCCUCUACAUCUACAUGAUAUUUCACAAAUGUGGAUACUAUUCUAUUAUGAAUGAGCAUAUAAAUGACAUGUCCAAUAAUGACUAAAUUAUUCAUUUAGAUGCCCUUUUUUCAAUUUAACGAGGACUUACACAAAGUGUAGUCCGGCUUGCGCCGUGCCUAAUGGCCCCGUGGUAGUCAACACUCCCUACAUCAAUCCACUUUGGCGCCCAGUCCCGCACGGCUAGCAUGAUGUCGCGUAGGCCAAUUCCGGAGUGCUGGCUUGUAGGGAGCGACCCUCACAAGCUUGUGCGAAUGAGCACAAUGGCAAGCAAGCAUGAUCCACAAUAUAAAGUUCCCGAUCGUCAUGUCUAAAACAUGGUAUAUCUACUAGCAACCCAAAGGUCGGAUUCUAUAUCACAAUGUCAAGGUUUAGUUAUUUAACUAAGUCAUUGUCACGACCCGACGCCGCCAAUUUGAACAACUCGGUGUCACGGACAAAAUGUUUUCCGCUGACUUCUCCUUGACAGUGGCCCAACUUCGCUAGCGGAGCGGGUCGUUAAAGUGACCCGAACCCAACCCGCUAUGGAGAGAUGAGGGGUUUUGUAACCUCUCCCAUCAAUGAUGGAAACUUAAGGGUUAUGAAACUCCCAUGAGUUAUGGGGUGACCUUAGGCUUUUGGCUCAUUAUGAGGGUGAGUUAAUGUGUCUCAUAAUGAGAGAAUUAGUGUGUGUUUAGGUUCAUUGUAUCUAGGAGCCUAUAAGUAGUGGGGUUUGGUUAAGGCCAAAACGCACAAGAGGGAGUGUGUAUGUGAGAUGUAAUUCUUAUUUUCUAAGUAGUGUAGUAUUUAGCUUUUUGAAAGAAUCUCUACCUCUUUCUCUUUGUCAUUUCCCUUUGCAUACUUAGUCGUAGGACGCGAAGGUCCGGACUAGCAAUAGGGACGAAGGCUUGCCCAUCUUCGAGCAGGAAGGCGGGCGCCGCACGGACUUUGCGAACAGAACCGCUAAGGCCGUGACAGUUGGUAUCAGAGCCGGUUCGAGAAGGAACCAUGUCUUUGUCGGAAGCUAUCGUCGUUGACGUUGUGCCCGAGCGGGAGCGAACCGAGGGCGAUCGAGGUGAACCAUCAAAGGCGAGCAAGGCCAAAGGUGGGGGAGAGCACCGCGAUCCAUGGGACGCAAAAGGGUGCAACGAGAGUUCAACUCUGACAGCCCUGCAGCUUUGCGAGGAGGUGAAGCACGGGAAAGCUGGGGACCUCGAGGAGGAGGGCUUGAGCAGCGGCGAGACUAUCGAGUCUCAUGCGGCGCUGGAGCGGCCAGCGUCCAAGCAAAGUGCAACUCAUUCUGCUAAGGAGCCUGCGAGGACCAAAAGACGUUCUGCAGCUUGGCGGAGUACACGUGCGUGUCGCGGAGGACAUGCACACUCGGGGCGUUCUGCAGCUUGGCAGAGUGCGCGUGCGUGUUGCGGAGGACAUGCACAUCCGGCGAAUUCUUCACAUAGCAGGCUCGCUGCUGCACUUGCUCAGAGGGGCAAGACAUUAGGUGCUGGUGCGGGGACAGGUGCGGACAUUGGGAGCAAGGCACGGGGCCGAUCGUGCGCGAAGGCACGACGAACCGCGCGGAAGGCUAUGCGGACUGGGAGCGACUCGGCGCGCGACGAGGGCGUCUGCACGUUAGGUGGGGGAGAAUGUCACGGACAAAAUGUUUUCCGCUGACUUCUCCUUGACAGUGGCCCAACUUCGCUAGGGGAGCGGGUCGUUAAAGUGACCCGAACCCAACCCGCUAUGGAGAGAUGAGGGGUUUUGUAACCUCUCCCAUCAAUGAUGGAAACUCAAGGGUUAUGAAACUCCCAUGAGUUAUGGGGUGACUCUUAGGCUUUUGGCUCAUUAUGAGGGUGAGUUAAUGUAUCUCAUAAUGAGAGAAUUAGCGUGUGUCUAGGUUCAUUGUAUCUAGGAGCCUAUAAGUAGUGGGGUUUGGUUAAGGCCAAAAUGCACAAGAGGGAGUGUGUAUGUGAGUUGUAAUUCUCAUUUUCUAAGUAGUGUAGUACUUAGCUUUUUGAAAGAAUCUCUGCCUCUUUCUCUUUGUCAUAUUCCUUUGCAUACUUAGUCGUAGGACGCGAAGGUCCGACUAGCAAUAGGGACGAAGGCUUGUCCAUCUUCGAGCAGGAAGGCGGGCGCCGCACGGACGUUGCGAACAGAACCGCUAAGGCCGUGACAUCGGGCUCGAAACAGACCCGCUGAACGGACAGAGUUUUUCCUGUCCGCCCAAAGUGUAACAAAGUUUAUGCAUACAUACAUCCAAACAGAAGAUCUUAGCAUCUAAACAUUUGCAAGAGGCAUAUCAUAGAUGCAAGAGAAUUUAAACUAUCUAUUACAACAUUCGUACAUUUAGAUUCUUUAACUUAUUACAACCUCUCAUUUACAUACAAAACAACAUCUCCAUUAUGUACAUCACAUUUUCCAAAGGCUUUUAUGUCUUUCUUUUCUUUCACAAAAGAGUUAUACAUGUCAUUAGUUUGCUAAGUACAUGGGUAAUGAUCUAGUCCCGGUGGUCCACACUAUCUAGGGCUCAAUGCCCUUGCCACGAUCCUCGACAAAUGCGCUCGUGCUUGGCUCUGCAAUACAAGGUGCGAGAACUAAAUAAAGUUCCCAGCGGGUUCGGCCGCCGGCUCCGCUAAUUUUUCCACUAGGUCUAAGAAGGCAUAGAGACAAGAUAGGUCAAUAGGACAAGGAAGUAAUAAAUAGAAACAAUAAGCCUAACAUGCUUAUAUACAUCUAUAUCAUUCUUCGAAUGUAUCACUAUGCCUUUACCAAACAUGUCAAGAUUCUACUAUGUCUUUAACAAUAUCAACAUAUCAAUGUUCUACGAUGUAUGCAACAUAUAUGAAAUGCCAUGACCAUGUCUUGAUUCAAAUCCAAUCGGUUCGCCCAAAGGUCGAACCACAACUCGCCACACACUGUCACCUCUGUGACCGUCUGCCGGGGGCGCACCGUCGUGACUCUCUCCUCGGUCUCAAUCUAACAUGAGUGUGACACUCCGGAGCUCAUGGCUUGGGAGUCACAACCUUCACAAGCCACAACAGACAACGCGAGUAUGAUCAAGUCCUCCCGCCCGAGGACUGCGGGAAUCCCACAUCCCAACCAAUCACAAGGCAUGCAAUGCUCAUAAUCGGCUACAUAUGCAAUAAUUCCAAUUCUCAUAGUGCCAUAAGUCUCCAUAUCUAGUUCACAUGAAUCUAGCAUAUUCUCACAAUAUGUCAACAUGCAUAUGUCCUCCAGCAUCUCAUGCACAUACAUAUAUACAUCUAUCUCAACAUCAUGUAAAUAAAUAAACCUACAAGUAUCGUGCAACAUGGAUCAUCAUUUCUCAAACUAAAGCAUGAAUUUACCACAACUCAUAGGUUUCUCACAUAAUCUCAAUGCAUGAUGCAAUAUGGCCAAUAAGUAGAACUUAGACAUAGAAUGAAAUCCGGCUAAUUCGGAUAGCACCCCCCGCCUCGUGUCGUCGUCACGAAGCGGGAAGCCAAGCUACGCAAUUUAUCGUCGCCGAUUUCACUCGAUUGCGGCAAACGAAGCGAAAACGACAAUUUCUCCAAAUUGACAACCGUCGGCUCAACGAGACCUCAAUCUAAACGAUCCACCGCGUCGGUUUUACCUUCAAUUACGAAAACACAGGACCAAUUAAGAUCAAAACCCAUCUUAAUCAAAAGCCCUCUUUAGAAACCCUAAAAACCCAUUUAUUGCAUAUUAUUCAAAUCUUAUCAUGAUUCAUGCAAUAAUCUAGGUUAGAAUCACAUGGGGUUCCCAUUUAUCACAUUUCUAAGGGAUUUACACAAACCCUAACUCAAAACCCCCAAAUUUCAUAAGGCUUACCUCAACUCAAAACUCUCCUCCUAGCCAAGGUUGCACAAGAGGGUUGCUUCACCUCCAAGCAAGCUCCUCUCCACCACUUCUCCACUAUUGGAGCAACCCUAAGAGAGAAAGAGAGACGUUUAGAGAGAGAAGGAGAAACUUCUCUUUUGUUUUGGUGUGAAGGGGAAUGAGGGGAAAUGACUAAACACCCUCAUAUAAACACUCCCACUUGCAUAUUUACACUUUAGCCCCUCACACAACAGGGUUGUGCUCAACCAGAAAAUUUUCGUGUUCGGGGUCCGGACCCUACAGCCAGGCUCCAGACCCCGAGAGCAUUUCCAGCGAAAAAGCUUGGAAUUUUCUCAUCUUGCUCUCCAAGGUCCCAACACCCAUUUAAACCAUUAUGAAGCAUUCAGAACAUUCAAUGGACCUCUCCAAAUUGUCAAUUACCACACUUCGAUCAAUUUGACUAAAGUUCGGUAUGGCGCGCCGAGGACUCGGUACACUACAGUCAUGGACCACAUCAUUAAGUUCAUACCAACUACUAUGAUAUAAUUGCCAUAUCCAACUUGCCUAUGCAAGGAUACUAAACAUCAUGUAAGUAUGCUAACAAAUAUGCUAUACAAUUGCUAGCCAAAUUCAAUGAACAUCUCUCUCUACUAUAUAGAGGUAUAGCUUUAACAUGUGUAAUAUGUAUGUUUUAUACAUUCAAUAAUUCAUUUAUGCUACAUCUAGCAUGAAUAUGCAUGAAGUCCAUUUUUAAACAUCGAAAGUGACAUAAGAGGAGUUCACCCAUUUCGAUGAGAUCAAACCCACCAGAUACCCCUCGAACUCCUUCGUUUGCUCGAACGAAGAUAUCCUUUAGCCUCUUAGCACUCUAACAAACAUUCCAAAUGAAUUAAAAGCUUCUCAUAAGCCUUCCCAUGAAAUUUUUCAAAACUAAACUCAAAUUCCACCAAUUCAACCAAAUUCACAGACAACAGUGAAAAAUUACGUAACUAACCUUCCAAGAGCUCCAAACCAAGCCAAUCUUGAGCUAGGGUUUGAGAUUUAUCCACAAAAAUACUCUUUUCUAUACUUCCAAAGAUUCUCCAAGGAUCACAAAACCGGCUUUCAUGGAAAAGAGAAGAAAAGAUAUAUCAAUUCCAUCAAUUUCCACCAAAAUUGGAAAGAAAUCUAGAGAGAGAAAGAGAAGGAGCUCACCAUAAAUUUUCUCUAGUUCCAGCAUAAGAGAGAAUAACUGGGAGGCUGUUGAGGAUAAACACUAGGCUCAAUUCCAACUAUACCCCUCAACAACUCACAACUAGCUGGCUAAACAAAUAUUAAUUGCAGCAUUGAGUACCGGUACUCGAAUUGGCGUAUCGGUACCCAAUGCUCAGUCUCGCAAAACCCGAGCAUUGGACUAUCGAAUUUUAUACAGUGUACUGGUACCGACCUGAUGCAGUACCGGUACUCAGCCCAGUACUGGUACUCACCAGCCUAGUACCGACACUCAAUGCGUAACUUCUCAAACUCGAGAGCAACACAUUCUGGUACCCUAAAGGGUUCCGGUACCCCACUCAGGUAUCAGUACUUAACACUCAAAAUUUGUAAUUUGCAGAUUUUAGUGUUAGAAACCCAUUCUCGCACUCAGAGAGCUUAAGUAAAGGAUCAAUACACUAUCACUGAUCCCCAAAAUGUCCAGAAUAGUUCAUAAUACUAUUCUUAUAGUAGAACCUUACAAUUUGCUAAAGUUCAGUGUACUACAAAAAUAGUCGCCCACUUUUGCAAAAGCUCAAAGCUAGUAGAUUUUUUAUGCAAAUUGGCCAAGAAUUUUUUCAAAAUAUAUAAAAUUGCUUUUCACCGAACUUUAUUUUAUUUUAUUUACAUGAAACCAAACUGUAAUAAGACCUGAGAUUUUAAUUUGAAUUUUUGAAUUUGAAUUCGAAUUUUUGAAUCCGUUAAUAUAUAUAUAUAUAUAUAUAUAUAUAUAUGAUAUUUAUAUAUAUAUAUAUAUAUUAUAUAUAUAUUAUUAUAUAUAUAUAUAUAUAUAUAUUUAUUAUUUAUUUAUUUUAUUAUUUAAUAGAAUGAGCUCCUAUGCUUUAAAAAGUACCAAGUCAUUGUAAGUUUUCGGCCUUGGUUUAAGGGAUGUGCGGUAUAGGAUGAUGUGGGCCUCUAGGGUUGAGUGGGUGGUUGUGAAUAGUAUAAUCUAACGGGUAAAAUGAUCAAAGGCGUAGAUCUACGGUAAAAAAUUUACAAGCCACCAAGUGCUUGGUGCUUUUACAAGUACCAUAGCCGGACUCUCUCUCCUCUCUCUCUCUCUCUCUCUCUCUCUCUAUAUAUAUUAAUAUAUAUUUUGGUAACGAAAGAGGGAAUGGUUUCGUUACGAAUUGGCAACCAUUUCAGGUGAAACGAAAUCACAGGUUCGAAGGUCUGGCAGUGCUGGAAGUGUUGGCGCGAUCCGUUCGUAAAUCCGACAAAACGAACCGAUCAUUCAAAAUUGCAUGUUGUUUGAGGGUGGGUCGUUAUUACACCUUGGGUCUUUUCGCGAAAUUCGGUAUACUUUAUGUACUGUUUCUCGAGGGAUCACUCGUGGAGGGGUGUUGGCGCAUUUUACGCGGAUGGUGAAGGGCUUGGAUUAAUUAGUCGAGGUUUCGAGGGAUUUUCAGCAAAUGUUCGAAUACUUAAUAUUUGGCAUUUAUGGUUUCUCGUGUGGAAACCCUAACCCUAGCCUUCCUCAACCCAACCCGAGCCAUAGCCACCUCCUCUCCGUCCCCUGACCACGCCGCGCGCCUCCCCAGUCGUCGACGAGUCCCUCUCCAGCCAGCCCAGCUCGGCCAACCUCCUCUCUAAGGUUGCACUUCGGUUUCUUUCUCCCUUUCUUUUCUUUUGAUCUCCGGCAGCCCCGCAGGGUGGACCUCACCUUGUGCAUCCCUCCAGCUGCACCCUUGGACACCGGCUGGCCUUCCCCCGCGACCCUUGAAGCCGCUGAGCGCCGCUAUCCUGUUGUGCUACUCGGGCCAUCCCUGGCAGAGGCGGCUCCGCAGCCUGCACAGCAUCAUCGCCGUCGCCACCCCUGAGCGUCGUGCCGCCUCCCUUUGGUCGAGAAGGACGCGCCGCCGCUGCCACUUGCCUCCCCGGCCGCCGCCGUCAUCGGAAGAAGCACCCCCACCCGAGCCCUAACUCAGGUGAGACCGAGGUUUCUCCAGCGCUGCCGCCGCCGCUCCUCGUCGCCGACCAAGAUGAGCACUAUACUCCCCUACCCCUCCGCACUCACCCUUGGGCGGCACGGCUGUCGCCGUGCCGCCGGCAGCCGGUCGGAGCAAGCUUGCUCCGGCCAAGCCCGAAAUGGGGCAUUUCUUGGGUUGCUCACUAUUCUGAGCAACCCGAGGCCUCCCGAUCUUCGAGGAAAAGAGCACGAUGAUCGUAACUCAUCACUGAUCAUCAUGUUCACCUCGGUUUUUAUCGGGAAGGCUUCGUUUCGCUGUUUCAGCGAUGUCGCUCCUUUGGGGAUUGUAUUCUAGCAAUAUUAAUGGGCCCGUGCUUCGUGCCUCAGACCGGGAGCAUGGGCUUCGCUGCGAAGAGACCUUGCUGUUGGUGCCCUCGGUUGAUCUCGAAAUCGCGCGAUAGUGGUGAUGUUGCCUUUUUAGUGUGUAAAUUCAUGAGUUUAUACUAUUUAAGUAUUAUUUGAGGGCUUCCAUACAAUUGCGGCAGCAUGGGCUGUCUCGGGCAGCGUGAGACCACCUUGUGUGACCCUCUGGACUGAUUGUCCAAGCCUUCGAUUCUCUCGCGAGAUCGAAUCGUGUUUCGGCACAUUUUUCCAACGAAAUUGUCGGCAGAACGUGUUUAUCAAUGUGGGACUAACUUGGUGGGGUUGUGGAUGGCCUAGUUUUGUUGCUGAGACUUGUUGGCUGGUUUCUCUCACUAUCCCAAAGUUUCGGAGACGUCGGAUGAGCGACAGAGGUUUCCAGUGCCAAAAACGACACUUUCGGGAACCUGGGGAUGUCAUUUCGGGUGCGUUUUAUGUUUUUAUGCACCUUGGACUUGUGUUUGCUGUCUGACCACUUAAAUUGGUGUGUUUUCAGACAGUGGGUGACUUGGGUUGCUUAUUGGUACCUUUCGGGGUAUUCCUUUGAGUUUGGAAUUGUUCCGGUGGAUUUUUCGAAAAUUCCGGCAAUUUCGGGAUUGUAAGUUUAGCAUUUUUGAGUCGACUCGAUGGACCAUGACGUGGUGGGUUUUUCGUAGGUCCAGUCGAUGUUCUUGCGAGCCUCAGGUGUUAGACUCUUCUCCAGUUCAGGUGGGUGCUUCGAUUCGGAGUCGAUACAGUGGACGAGCUCGGUGAUAUUUCUCCUUUCCUUUUUCCUUGCAUGUUAUGGAUAAGCGUGAUUUUACCCGACUUCUAGUUAUUGUUCUCUACUUUCAUCCCUGCAUAUGAUAUUAGUAGAGUGGUGUAAUAUAUCUUGCAUGAUCUCGUGGUAAGACCUGAUUGGUCAGUGUUGAUCGGCUCGAUGAUCCGAGCGAUCUCUUGGACAUGUAUUAGUUGUUGCUAUUCUCGGCUUGUUGUUGUCCUGUGGAUUAAGCAUUUCGCAUCGAUCGUCAUAGCUCAUUUAGCACUUCACAUACACCAGCGGUUUGGCCACCAUGGGGGUAUUCUUUUUCGAAAAAGUGGUAGUCUUCUCGACCCGUGAGCCUCUUGCCAGGUGCUUGCAGAGAUUGUGUGCCAGUGGGUGAGCAUACUGUGACAUAGCCUGCGAUCUUCGGAUCUAUAGGGUACAUUGAUUGGGUUUUCAGUUUAUCUACAGUUGAUGCAUAUACUUAUUAUUUGUACUAGCAGUAGUUGUUCAUACCUGUUUAUAUAUGUUCUCCAUUACUCGCUACUGUACUUGUUAUAUACAUAUCUAUCUGUUGUUUCUCCUUUGUCGGUGCGUACGCCUCGUCUUUGUCGGCUUGCGGUACCCACUGGGAGGGGAGACAUGUUUACAUGUUCUCACCUCACUAUUUUUUAGGCGAUCUCGGUGGCGGGAGUUAGGAUGUUGUGUGAGGCGCGAUAGCUAGUAAGCUAUAGAGGUUCCGACCAGUCUUUACUCGAGUUUCAGUUAUUUUAUUUUGACCAUUCUCAUCUUAUUGGUUAAUAAACUUGAUUUUUAUGUGGUUAAGUUAUUCAGUUAUUUUGUGGUUUUUGAAUAUUGUGAAUGCUUGCUUAUCUAUAGAUAUAUUAAUUUGGGAGUUCCUCCAAAGCCUCCCCGCGUUUGGCAGGGGCUUCGGCGGGACCACCCUGGCGGGACCCUCUUCGGCUCUCUCUCUCUCUCUCUUCCCGGCUCCCCCUCUUUCUCUCUUGGGGCUUCAGUGGGGCCCCCUCCCCCACCCGUCUUUCUCUCUCACUCACUCUCUCUCCCCCUUUCUCCCUCUCCCCACAGAUCUCUCUCUCUUUCUCUCUCCCUCUCUCUCUCUCUUUGCGCGCGCGAGGGGUGCGGGCUGCGCGCGCAUGACAGCCCCCUCCCCCACCCCCCCAAUCUCUCUCCCUUUCUCUAUUUCUCUCUCUCUCGCGUGCGGGCGACCCACGCCCAGCGGGUGCGCGCCCCCCUUUCUCUCUCUCUCUCGUGUGCGCGCGACCCGCACCCGGUGGGUGCGCGCUNNNNNNNNNNNNNNNNNNNNNNNNNAAGAGAGUAGAUGAGACCAUAGCUACUCAUGGGCAAAGACGAAGCAGAACUUUUUAUUAUA
rnacentral:lncRNA from 1 species